GGGGUCAUAGUUCAAUGGCAGAACUUCGGUCUCCAAAACCGAUGAUCGAGGUCCGACUCCUCGUGACCCCG
rnacentral:tRNA from 1 species